UACGGAGGGUGCAAGCGUUAUCCGGAAUUAUUGGGCGUAAAGAGCUCGUAGGCGGUUUGUCGCGUCUGCUGUGAAAACUCAGGGCUUAACCCUGAGCCUGCAGUGGGUACGGGCAGACUAGAGUGUGGUAGGGGAGAUCGGAAUUCCUGGUGUAGCGGUGGAAUGCGCAGAUAUCAGGAGGAACACCGGUGGCGAAGGCGGAUCUCUGGGCCAUAACUGACGCUGAGGCGCGACAGCGUGGGGAGCAAACAGG
rnacentral:rRNA from 1 species